AGUCUUGUACAAUGAACAAAAAUAUAGUAUUAAAAUUCGAUGAUGGUGAUGGUCCAAACCUCUGUAGAGUAAAAAAAGAUUGAUAAAUGAAUGAUGGAUAAAUAAACAUUACAGGAUUGAAUAACUCUAUCGCCUGGUGUGACUCCAUAUUUACAAAACAGUCUUGUAUAAAUAUCAAAUAUAUUAAACUGUUCUUACCCGUUAA